ACUGGGAUAACUUCUGGAAACGGAUGCUAAUACCGGAUGAUAUCAUAUCGUUUUUCGAGAUGAUCAAAGAGGGCUUCGGCUCUUACUGUUAGAUGGGCCUGCGUCUGAUUAGCUUGAUGGUAAGGUAAUGGCUUACCAUAGCGACGAUCAGUAGCUGGUCUGAGAGGAUGAUCAGCCACACUGGGACUGAGAUACGGCCCAG
rnacentral:rRNA from 1 species